AAUCAACGCUGGCGGCGUGCCUAACACAUGCAAGUCGAACGCGAAAGCCCGCAAGGGUAAGUAGAGUGGCGCACGGGUGAGUAACACGUGGACAACCUGCCUUCGAGUGGGGAAUAACCUUCCGAAAGGAGGGCUAAUACCGCAUAACACCUCGGGACACAAGUUCUGGGGUUGAAAAGAGCAAUUUGCUCGAAGAGGGGUCCGCGCCUGAUUAGCUAGUUGGUGAGGUAACGGCUCACCAAGGCUUCGAUCAGUAGCCGUCCUGAGAGGGAGCACGGCCACACUGGAACUGAGACACGGUCCAGACUCCUACGGGAGGCAGCAGUGGGGAAUUUUUGGCAAUGGGCGAAAGCCUGACCAAGCAACGCCGCGUGGGUGAUGAAGUAUCUUGGUACGU
rnacentral:rRNA from 1 species